rnacentral:ncRNA from 1 species
CUUAUUUUAUAUUGUAAUUGGUUAUUUGGAUAAUGCUAAAUAUAAGUUUUUGCGUGGUAAUUUUGAUUUUGUCUAAAUGAUAAAGUUUAUAUUAAAUGUUUGUAGUUUUUUAUUUUGGAUAUUGUUACAUAGUUGUAGAUCCAGUUAAUUCUUAUUAGAACUGUAAAAGGUUGUGCCAGCAUACGCGGUUACACAAUCAGUUCAAGUUAAUUUUUUUGGUUAGGUAUUUAUUUUUAUUUGUUGGAGAUUAAUUUUUUUAUAUUAAGUGAAAUUUUUAUUUUAUUUAUAUAUUCUCUGGGUUUAAUAUAAUAUGAAAUUUAGAUUUUAAACUAGGAUUAGAUACCCUAUUAUUCUAAAUGUAAAUUUUUUACCACAGUACUAUUAGUUAUGAUCUUUAAAUUGAAAGGAUUUGGCGGUAAUUUAGUCUUUUCAGAGGAAUCUGUCCUGUAAUUGAUGAUCCACGUGGGAUUUAACUUUAAUUUUUGUUUGUAUAUCUCUGUCAUUGAAUGUUUUAUUAGAAUAUCUUCUUUAAUUAUUAAUUUAAUUAAUGUCAGGUCAAGGUGCAGCUAUAUUAAAGGUUGAGAUGGAUUACAUUUAAUGUUAAUUUAUUGGAGUAUUAUUAUUGGAAAUUUAUUAAUAUGAAAAAGGAUUUGAAGGUAAUUUUUAUUAUUUUAUAAUAAUGAUUUUAGCUCUAUAUUAUGUACACAUCGCCCGUCGCUCUCGUUUAUAAGAUGAGAUAAGUCGUAACAAAGUAAUUUUACCGGAAGGUGAGGUUGGAAUUAGA